CCGUAUAACCCUUUCCCCCCUUCACAUUUUCACCCAAAAUCUAAAAUCUCCCCAAAUCUCUCCCUCCAUCUCCAUCUUCCCUCUCCCCCCACCCACCGCCGACCACGAGCAGCAACGCUGAGCCAAAGGCCGAGCACCGGUGACACAGCAACUCCAUCUCCGGCAAACUCGGAUUUCAAUUUUUUUUCCAACCGUGCCAUCUCUCUUCCACCGUGCUCCUCCAUCUCCUCCCUUCUCCACCGCCAACCACUGAUUUCUGGGCUUCGUUUCUAGAGGUAGAUUUAUGGAUUAAUUUUUUUGGGUUUUGGGGUCUGGGUCCACUGCUCUCUCUCUCUCUCUCUCUCCCCCCUGAAAUCGGCUGGCCGGCUGUUCCUCUCUCCCGGCGACAAGUGAAACCCACCAGCGCCGUAUCUCUCUCUCGGGCCGUUCUCUCUCUCUCUCUCUGGAUUCUCUCUCUCUCUCUCCAUCACUUCGACCGGCCGUUCUUUCACCGGCGGCGUCUCCACCGUCAAGGUCCGUCCCCCCCAACUCAACCAGCCGCAUCUCUCUGAUUCCCGUCUCUACCGUUGAUGGAACCAAGGCAGGGAUGGAUGGUACUGGAAAAGGACUUGCUUUGCACCAUAAAGCUCGUGGGAAAAAUAUGGUGCAUGCUCGUUGUUUCUUAUGGAUGGAUCCCUAACUUGUCAACGUGGGUUAAAAGUCUUACUUGAAUGCUGAUAAAUAGAAGAAAUUGGAGAACAACAUUUACAUGGGCCAAAAAAGAAAAAGGGAAAAUCUUUUGAUUGAAGUUGAGAGUUAGGUGAUUUGGUUGAUUGCUUGGAACUCAUCAAGUUGUAAUGAGAUGUUUAUUGACUUAUGAGGCUGUAUUUUUUAUGAUCUUAUAUUACAAUUUUGACAGGCUCAUAAUUUUUUAUGAUCA